rnacentral:lncRNA from 1 species
UACUGCACCGUAAUGAUCCCCUUCUGGAUGUGGCAAACUUAAUUCAAUUGCUAUGGGCCUCAGUGUUCCAUCUUCUUUCAAGAAGAGAAUUGUUCUCGUUGCAUAAGUCUUUGCAGCUGUAGUAUUUAUCCUCCUCAGGUAUGGCAUCAGGCUGUCGUGGUGAUCUAGUAUGUACAGCUUAUUGUUCCUGAUUGCCUAUAUAUAUAACCACCCCAAUUACUUAAGUUAAUAUUUGAUAUUAAUCAUCCAUGCAGUCAAGUUUGAUUUAGUUUUACCUCAGCAACAGUCAAGCCUUCUAGAUUGUGUAGUAUAUGCUUUCUGAUAUUUUACUGGAUUGCCUUCCAUAUAGCUCUGGAUUUAGUUUGCUUGUUGGCGGGAAUUCCUGUGAGUAGAAAAGUAUUAACAAUCGAACACUUUGACCUCAUAUGACAAAUAAAUAAUAUGAACACUAUUCUUGGUUUUUCUUUUUUCAUUUUCUAGAGCGUUAUUAGCACAUGAAAGUUAUUCAGCAAAUUCUGUGUUUUGUAUUUGAUUCUGUUUUGUUUACUCAAAGCUAAAAAUUAGCGGCUUUAUAUCUGAUACCCCCUUCUCAUAGGAAAAAAGAUAAAGAGCAGAAAAUUUUAUUUACUUGGAGGCAUUGGAUAAUGACAGGAUUGAUUCCAGCCAGCAUUUCUCUACCGAAUUCUUCAUCAGAUCGCCAGGCAUCUUUAUCUUCUGCUCCACGAAGAAAAUAACAAAUUAGUUUAAGUAAAAGGUUAGCUCUCUUCAUUUCUUAAAUUAAUACAUGUCAAAGUCAACAAAUUCAGUAUAAUGUUUCCGCUAAGUUACCUUUGAUGACAUGUGGCAGCGGAAAAUUGUAUGUUUUCUCUCCAUCUGAUCUGAGUAGCUCCCUUAUCGUCUCUAAGGGUAUAUGUUGUCUAAUUUUCUCCAACAUAGUUACAUUAGAUACUUCGGUUGCACCAUCAUAGAGCCGUAGCACGUCCUCAAAUGAGUCAAACUCAUCGGGAGUUUUGUCAAACAGAUCCUUAAGCACUGGCACCAAGAACUGAAAUAGUGACUUGAGUGCAUAUGCUACAAAAUCUGACAUCUUCAGAUGACUAAACCUUUCAUCCCUCGGGACGUAGAUGCUCAGGCUGUUAUAUGCUGGUAUCCUGCCCUCGGUUCUGGGAUCUACAAAGUAGCAAGUGAUUAAACACAUGUGGUUUAUACGUAGAUGCUUAAAUGCAUGCAUCUUCCAAUGUCAGAAUGCAUCUAUACAUGGUAAUCUCUCUUAAGUUUCAUGUUCAACCUCUUACCUGAUGAAGCCAGAGGCCGGCCAGUUCUUCCUCUGCGAGGAUAUGGGUAUUCAGUUGAACCCCCAAGAAUGGGACGUUCUGCUCUGGACCUUUAUCUGGAUCACCUAAAUCAUUGUAUAUAUCAUAGUCGUACACCCUAUCCCAUUCCUCAAGUUUUCCUGUUCCAGUUCCUCUCAGGUUCUCCAAUUCUUCUUCUCUGUAACCACGAAGUGGCGGAGGCGUUUGGCUAGGGAGAUAUGUCUGCAACAGAAGGUUAUUUUCUUCUUUAUAUAGAACACACGUCACAGGCACAAAAUCACUCUUUCUGAGUCAAAGCAAAUUGUUUAAUGAUAAAGCUAGACAUGCAAAUUCUGUUUGAUUUUGGCAUCUGAAAGCUAAUGCAGAAGCAGCUGUUUCGUUCUUAUAAACUUUUAAUUUUAGGUACAUGGGAGUGAGCACAAUAACAUAUGUGAACUUGAGAUCAUGCUGAAACAAAAUAUAGCAUUUGAUGCACCUUCAUAAAUGAAUUUAGUGGAGAUAGCUCGUUAUAUAGCCUUGAAAGAGUGUAGCGAUUCAUGUUAUCACUAUUUAACAUGCUGCAAUAUUUUUCUUUUACCUGAUUAGCGAAAAAUAUCCGGUCCUUUUUGUAGCAUUCAGCAUGGUAAACCCAAGAAUUGCAGAUGAAAUGGACGCGGCCAUGGCCAGGGACGUCUUCAAGAGUCAGCGUCUUGAGGUAGAAUUCACUAUGGUGAAAAUUUGUGAUUGUGAAUGCCCCCGGAUAGCCCAUCUCCUUGCUCCA